rnacentral:rRNA from 1 species
GAUGAACGCUAGCGACAGGCUUAACACAUGCAAGUCGAGGGGCAGCGGGGGUAGCGAUACCCGCCGGCGACCGGCGCACGGGUGAGUAACGCGUAUGCAACUUGCCUAUCAGAGGGGGAUAACCCGGCGAAAGUCGGACUAAUACCGCAUGAAGCAGGGGCCCCGCAUGGGGGUAUUUGCUAAAGAUUCAUCGCUGAUAGAUAGGCAUGCGUUCCAUUAGGCAGUUGGCGGGGUAACGGCCCACCAAACCGACGAUGGAUAGGGGUUCUGAGAGGAAGGUCCCCCACAUUGGUACUGAGACACGGACCAAACUCCUACGGGAGGCAGCAGUGAGGAAUAUUGGUCAAUGGCCGAGAGGCUGAACCAGCCAAGUCGCGUGAGGGAUGAAGGUUCUAUGGAUCGUAAACCUCUUUUAUAAGGGAAUAAAGUGCGGGACGUGUCCCGUUUUGUAUGUACCUUAUGAAUAAGGAUCGGCUAACUCCGUGCCAGCAGCCGCGGUAAUACGGAGGAUCCGAGCGUUAUCCGGAUUUAUUGGGUUUAAAGGGUGCGUAGGCGGCCUUUUAAGUCAGCGGUGAAAGUCUGUGGCUCAACCAUAGAAUUGCCGUUGAAACUGGGGGGCUUGAGUAUGUUUGAGGCAGGCGGAAUGCGUGGUGUAGCGGUGAAAUGCUUAGAUAUCACGCAGAACCCCGAUUGCGAAGGCAGCCUGCCAAGCCAUGACUGACGCUGAUGCACGAAAGCGUGGGGAUCAAACAGGAUUAGAUACCCUGGUAGUCCACGCAGUAAACGAUGAUCACUAGCUGUUUGCGAUACAUUGUAAGCGGCACAGCGAAAGCGUUAAGUGAUCCACCUGGGGAGUACGCCGGCAACGGUGAAACUCAAAGGAAUUGGCGGGGGCCCGCACAAGCGGAGGAACAUGUGGUUUAAUUCGAUGAUACGCGAGGAACCUUACCCGGGUUUGAACGCAUUCGGACCGAGGUGGAAACACCUUUUCUAGCAAUAGCCGUUUGCGAGGUGCUGCAUGGUUGUCGUCAGCUCGUGCCGUGAGGUGUCGGCUUAAGUGCCAUAACGAGCGCAACCCUUGCCACUAGUUACUAACAGGUAAAGCUGAGGACUCUGGUGGGACUGCCAGCGUAAGCUGCGAGGAAGGCGGGGAUGACGUCAAAUCAGCACGGCCCUUACAUCCGGGGCGACACACGUGUUACAAUGGCGUGGACAAAGGGAGGCCACCUGGCGACAGGGAGCGAAUCCCCAAACCACGUCUCAGUUCGGAUCGGAGUCUGCAACCCGACUCCGUGAAGCUGGAUUCGCUAGUAAUCGCGCAUUCAGCCAUGGCGCGGUGAAUACGUUCCCGGGCCU